CCUACGGGAGGCAGCAGUGAGGAAUAUUGGUCAAUGGGCGCGAGCCUGAACCAGCCAAGUAGCGUGAAGGAUGACUGCCCUACGGGUUGUAAACUUCUUUUAUAAAGGAAUAAAGUGAGGCACGUGUGCCUUUUUGUAUGUACCUUAUGAAUAAGGAUUGGCUAACUCCGUGCCAGCAGCCGCGGUAAUUCGGAGGAGCCGAGCGUUUUCCGGAUUUUUUGGGUUUAAAGGGAGCGUAGGUGGGUUGUUAAGUCAGUUGUGAAAGUUUGCGGCUCAAACGUAAAAUUGCAAUUGAUACUGGCAGUCUUGAGUACAGUUGAGGUAGGCGGAAUUCGUGGUGUAGCGGUGAAAUGCUUAGAUAUCACGAAGAACUCCGAUUGCGAAGGCAGCUUACUAAACUGCCACUGACAUUGAUGCUCGAAAGUGUGGGUAUCAAACAGGAUUAGAUACCCCUGUAGUC
rnacentral:rRNA from 1 species